rnacentral:rRNA from 1 species
UACGGGGGGAGCAAGCGUUGUUCGGAUUUACUGGGCGUAAAGGGCGCGUAGGCGGUCAGCACAAGUCAGUUGUGAAAUCUCCGGGCUUAACUCGGAAAGGUCAACUGAUACUGUGCGACUAGAGUGCAGAAGGGGCAACUGGAAUUCUCGGUGUAGCGGUGAAAUGCGUAGAUAUCGAGAGGAACACCUGCGGCGAAGGCGGGUUGCUGGGCUGACACUGACGCUGAGGCACGAAAGUGUGGGGAUCAAACAGG